CGGCAGGCUUAACACAUGCAAGUCGAGCGGGCGUAGCAAUACGUCAGCGGCAGACGGGUGAGUAACGCGUGGGAACGUACCUUUUGGUUCGGAACAACACAGGGAAACUUGUGCUAAUACCGGAUAAGCCCUUACGGGGAAAGAUUUAUCGCCGAAAGAUCGGCCCGCGUCUGAUUAGCUAGUUGGUGAGGUAAUGGCUCACCAAGGCGACGAUCAGUAGCUGGUCUGAGAGGAUGAUCCAGCCACAUUGGGACUGAGACACGGCCCAAACUCCUACGGGAGGCAGCAGUGGGGAAUAUUGGACAAUGGGGGCAACCCUGAUCCAGCCAUGCCGCGUGAGUGAUGAAGGCCCUAGGGUUGUAAAGCUCUUUUGUGCGGGAAGAUAAUGACGGUCCGCA
rnacentral:rRNA from 1 species